rnacentral:snRNA from 1 species
UUAGGGUUUUGAUCCGAUUAUAGU